CAAGUGAGGUUGGGUCCGGGGUCGACGCCGAGCUGCUGGCAGUACUGCCUGUAGUAGCCCACCCGCGCGUUCAUCUGGGCAGUAUUCUUGCCGUUGCACUCGAGGGCGCCGUUGAUGGCCCUGAUGGUGGCGCCGAACCCCUGCGACAUCACCCCGUGCACGUUGUUGGUCCAGAACCAGAGCGCCGUCUUGAACGCGACCACGGCGUCCUGCGCCACCCUGUCCGGGUUCCGAAGCCCGUCGAAGCCGAUGUCCCUCCCGGCAGGCCCGUAGUUGUAGUUCCACGAGAUUUGCAGCGGGCCGCGCCCGUAGUACUUCUGACCCGCGGCACACGGCCACUGCCUGUUGCUCGAGUCGCAGUAGGCGUUGUUCUUGUUGAUCUCGCUGAUGUAGCAGAAAUCUGUAUGUGGUGUCCGUAUCGAGUCGUGCACACAGCAGAAUUACAAAAAUCGAUCAGCAUUAUGCAUGGGUCAAAAAUCAAAGACGAUUACGAUACUGUGGAAGAGAGAUUAGAGUGUGUGGUCAUCAGUGGACGUUCAAUCAACUUACGUCCGGUCUCGUGCGUGAUGUGGGCGAAGAAGGCGGCGAUCUCGCGCUUGCCCUGCACCGACCUGCCACCGAAGCCUUUGUACGCGUCGGCGGCGCUCAGGAACGCGCUCCGGGUGUAGAAGUUCUUGCCCUCGCACCCGUUCCCGGCCUGGUUCUUGAUGCUGUUGAAGAAUGCGUCGGUGACAACGCCAGCCACGUUCCCACCUCCACUGCUGCCGCCGCCAGAGCGGCACGGGCCCGACUGGCACCCGUCGCCGCAGUACUCGUCGGUCGUGCCGCAGUAACCGAACUUGCUGCAGCAGUAACCUGCCUGGCAGCCGCAGUUCUGCGCGGCGGCAGCGCAGAGGAGUGCUAGGCCGAGAGCCAGGACCGCCAUGAUCCUCGGCGCGAUUGCCAUACUGGAUCAGAUCAGUAGUACUUCAGCUUCUGGCCAAAGGUUUGUUGCUGCGGUGCAGCUUUGUUGCGAGGUGAUUUGAGAUGUCACGAGGGUGCCGCUUUAUAUAGGCAUCAGAACGUGCGUCUUGCCGAUGCAUGGCAUGCGACGUGGAGGAUUUGGACGGAGUGGCUGUGUCCCGGUCCACGCAUAGCACUGGCACGUACUGUACGACCGUUCCACGCAUUGCACUGGCACGUACGACUGUUCCACAUUUUAUGAUGGACUUUUGACACAUGGGACAGCUAGCAUGUAUCGACAAGCACAAGUCUAACGUACGUUGGUCGAGAUAUCAUCAGAUUUGGAUUGCCACCGCCCAUCGCCUGAAUGCUCGGUGGAAAAUCCGCGCAUGCUAGCUGCUAGAAGCCAUUUGUUUUCCAUUCCUAUAGUUUUUUUUCCUGACAGAUGCAGUCGCUCGUAAAUACGAGUGUACACUCAACCCUAUGAACAUACACGUACACUUAACUUCUAUGAACAUCUUCGAAAAAACAAAUUAGACCAAUAAAUCUUGAGAGACGCCUCGUUAUCAACAGGAACAUUACCUAUAUUGCAAAUCAAAGGAUCCUGAAAAAUAAGAGAUGCUGGAGAAUAAUAAUGAAGCCGAGAAGGACAAGUGAAGUAAAAGGAGAAGUUUGUAUUUUUUUGCCACCGGAGCCCGUCUGUUCCUUUGAAACUUUUUUCUUAUUCUAGUUUUUGGGAUGUUGUCUGUAAUCUUCAAUCUAGUUUCGCUGUUAGUGUAGCAAAUUGUUCGCUUUCUUAAACUCUGGUUAGUUGUAAGUGGCUGGUCUGGUUCUGUUUCUGUCUACACUAUGUUCUGAAUUAUAUUUCUGUUGGAAGUAAUGAAAAUGAGGAAGAUCCUUUGUAUAAAAAAAGAAUAGUGUCAUUAAAUCCUAGAAUAAAUCUUUCUUAUUCUAGUUUUUGGGACGUUGUCUGUAAUCUUUAAUCUAGUUUCGCAGUUAGUGUAGCAAAUUGUUCACUUUCUUAAACUCUAGUUAGUUGUAAGUGGCUGGUCUGGGUUCUGUUACUAUCUACACUCUGUCCCAAACUGUAUUUCCAUUGAAAGUAAUGAAAAUGGGGAAGAUCCCUUCUAUUGAAAAAAGAAUAGUACCAUUAAAUUCUAAAAUAAAUCUUUCUUAUUCUAGUUUUUGGGACGUUGUCUGUAAUCUUCAAUCUAGCUUCACUGUUAGUGUAGCAAAUUGUUCGCUUUCUUAAACUCUAGUUAGUUGUAAGUGGCUGGUCUGGGUUCUGUUCCUGUCUACACUCUGUCCCGAACUGUAUUUCCGUUGGAAGUAAUGAAAAUGCUUGUAUCGAAAAAAAUAGUUCCAUUAAGUCCUAGAAUAAAUCUAAAAAAAUUCAAGUAGCUGUGUCAAAUCAGUUAAACUUGGACGGUCAGGUUUCACCACAAUCCAACCAGCUGAGCUCGCUCAGUUUGCAUAUUUCCUAUAGUCUGUUUUGUCUUUGUCCUUCCGUAAAAAGAAUUAUAAUUAUUUUAUUGUGAUUUGUGCUAAUAGAUUUAGAACGUUAGAUAGAGAUCUGAUAGUGUUAACCGUCGCCUGAACAAAUGCUAUAUUUCAAACACGUGUAACUUUUCUCGUAUACGUACUGUUGCUUCAAAAAACUCCAUGUACCUCGCAUGUGAGUAUUUAUUGGUGGCCUUGGCCUGCGUGUUCCAACUAAGGCUACCAGAAAUGGUCAACCAAGAACGGAAGACUUCCAAGCUAGCUACCGGUGAUGGAUUGGGCCAUAUGCAUGAUCAAACGAAGUCGUAGAUAGCUUUCUAUAUUUUUGUUAUUUCUGUAGAAGGCUCGUUGGCUUUUUUCCUUCCUUAUUCUCAUUAUGCGUGGAUUUAGAAUAGAAGAGUUCUAGCACUCAAUACAGCGGAAGAUUGUUCUCGUGCCUCACUUUAUUUAUUAAUCGCUCCCUCUAUCGUGUAGUAUAUUCUAAAAAUUAUAAGACAAAAUAAAGAAGAAUAUAAAAUACGUAUCUACCUUUGCUUUAUUUCUUGAUGAGACGUUAUUAUCAACUUAAUUAAUGGUGAUUGGUUGAUAAAUAGAAAAUAUUUUUAACGCCCCCCCCCCCCCACCCCCCACUGACACAAAUUUUGGGCCGUGGUGUAGUGCCACUAAAUGAUGGUGAUUGGUUAAUAAAUGGCAAGUAACACUACCAUACCUACCAAAUUUGUGCAACUAUUUCAUUCAAAAUUAUUUUUCCUCUGUAAUCCCUUGGUUUUGGGUUUAAUUUUUAAUGUUUGUAUGCACUAUAUUAUAUGACAAAAGGAAGUAUAUAACACCCCCUAAUGUCCAGUGUUCGCCGACUGACUUCUCUUUUAAUCAGCCGUGGAAACUGGUUGAAUAUAUACUGUAUACUUACAUCCAAACCCAUGCAAGGAGACCCUUGAAAAGAACACAAAAUUUGCACUGAAGUUAUUUUUUGAGGUUUGAUCUAUCGCAUAUGUGGCCUACCAUUAGGGAUUAGCAGCGCUGGAUGCGCUCUGAUCCACUGUUACUUGGUACUCCUACUAGCCUACUAGGUAAUAAUGUAAGCGUAAAGUAAUCAAAACUCAUCAACAGAGGAAGAUUUGUGAUCGAUAGUAUAUGCAUAAGAUAAUUCAAUCGGAAUAAGAGCAUCUCUAACAGUUAUGCAAUUGGAAUUUGCCAUUUGUUUGAGUUUGCCAAGUCUCUAAACGUUUUGCCAAAGGAAAAAUAAGUUCAUCUCCAAGUGUUUGACAUUUUUGACUUGACAUUUCCCAAAAUAGUGGACCCAACUAUUUUUGUCCGGAAAUCUUUCAUCUUCGCGGGAAAUUUUCUCGCACGUCGCGCGGGCGCUUUCUUUUUCGCACGCAAUUCCUUCGCCCGUCGCGUUCCUUUGUCGCGAUCGAUCUCCGUGAUCAACUCGACGCGGCAGCAGCGCGUGGACUUCGACGUCUUCCUCACGCCGGUGAACCCCAACAAGAUGACGGCGUUGUGGUACAGGAGCGGCACGGUGAAGAUGCGGCGAUGGAUUUCCUAGCCUCGCGUCGCUGCAAGAAAAGGAGGCAGUGAUGGAUCUCUUUGUCCCUGCGCAAAGAAAGGAGACGGCGCGCGGGGGAAAGAAAAGAGUCGCGCGCGAGGAGGACUCGUCUCGCGGGAAACUACCGCGACGUGGGGGUACGACAAGGAGUCCAAGAUUCUCAGGAUAUCAAAAUUGCCAAACCAUUGUGCUUAUGCAAAAAUGCCAAGUUUGGUCCAUCAAAUGUCAAGUUUGCCAAAAUGCAUAAGUCAAAUGUAAAAUUGUUGGAGAGCAAUUUUUAAGGUUUUUGGCAAAUUUCAAGAAUGCAAAGUCCAAUUGCAUAAUGGUUGGAGAUGCUCUAAGAAAUUUGUUUUUCAUUGCAUAGCUCAACCAUUCAGGUACUAUGUUGCACAAGAACCACUUUUCAUCAUGAUUGGUUAUUGGUAUAUGGCCUUCUUUGUGUUUGCAAAAUCUCUCAUAUUUCCAUGCGUUUGGCGGAGAGCGACAAGGUGUGUGUCUCACAAAUCAUCUCCUUCCUCUUAUUUCUUCAACAAAUCAACAUAGGCACAGGUAUGGCUGGAAGGGGCCGAUUCAGCCAAGAGAGCAGCCACCAGCGGCAACGGAUGAAACCGCAAGCUUCACCUAAUCACCACCCACGCACCCGAAGAUGGUUUUAAUUGGUCGAGGCUAGUAACAAGUUGGCCGAGCCUAAGAGCCUUCCCGUCCAGCGGUCGACAACAACAAGUAGAAGGUAGAAGAUAGAUGGAGAUAAAAUGGUAGAUCUGACAUAGAGUUAUCCUAAAUACGUGUGUGCGGAGACGAGAGAACUGCGGCGGACUCAUCUGCACAUUUGUUGAAGCUCGCCUAGACACAGACACUGUUUAUUGAUUUAGUCUUUAAACCCUUGAUGCAAUCGUAGUAAAGUACAAGCGCGAGUGUACACACUAAUGUUUCGAGGGUAUAGUUGCUUCAUUAUUAGUAAGGUGCAACAAACAGGCUCAGCCCCAGCGUUUUAUUGUUACUACUAGCUAGCUCGUACUCGCUAAACUCUGUGUUUCGCGAGGGUGCGACGCCGAGCAUGCAUUUUCUGGACGAGCCAUCCAAGGACUGCCGACGCCACUCGCCUAGCAAGUGAGGUUGGGCCCGGGGUCGACGCCGAGCUGCCGGCAGUACUGCUUGUAGUAGCCCACCCGCGCGUUCAUCUGGGCAGUAUUCUUGCCGUUGCACUCGAGGGCGCCGUUGAUGGCCCUGAUGGUGGCGCCGAACCCCUGCGACAUCACCCCGUGCACGUUGUUCGUCCAGUACCAGAGCGCCGUCUUGAACGCGAUCACGGCGUCCUGCGCCACCUUGUUCGGGUUCGCGAGCCCGUUGAAGCCGAUGGCCUUCCCGGCAGGCCCGUAGUUGUAGUUCCACGAGAUUUGCAGCGGGCCGCGCCCGUAGUACUUCUGUCCCGCGGCGCACGGCCACUGCUUGUUGCUCGAGUCGCAGUAGGCGUUGUUCUUGUUGAUCUCGCUGAUGUAGCAGAAAUCUGUCGUCGGUCGGUAUCGAGCCAUACGUACGUCCACACAGCAGAAUUACGAAACUUUGAUCAGCAUGCAUGAUGGGUCAAAUCAAAGACGAUACUGUGGAAGAGAGAUUAAUUAGAGCCUGUGGUCAGUGAACUUACGCCCGGUCUCGUGGGUGACAUGGGCGAAGAAAGCGGCGAUCUCGCGCUUGCCCGCCACCGACCCGCCACCGAAGCUUUUGUACGAGUUGGCGGCGCUCAGGAACGCACUCCUGGUGUAGAAGUUCUUGCCCUCGCACCCGCUCGCGGCCUGGUUCUUGAUGCCGUUGAAGAAUGCGUCGGUGACAACGCUACCCACGUUCCCACCACCACUACUGCUGCUGCCGCUCGAGCGGCACGGGCCCGACUGGCACCCGUCGCCACAGUAGUCGUCCGUCGUGCCGCAGUAACCGAACUUGCUGCAGCAGUAACCUGCCUGGCAGCCGCAGUUCUGCGCGGCGGCCGGGACGGCGGCAGCGCAGAGGAGUGCUAGCCCGAGAGCCCCCAGGACUGCCAAGAUCCUCGGCGGCGCGUUUGCCAUACUGGAUCGAUCGGAUCAGUACUUCAGCUUCUCACUAAGGUUGCUGCGGUGCAGCUUGUUGUGAGGUGUGAUUUGAGAUGUCAUAUAAGGGUGCCGCUUUAUAUAGGUAUCAUUUGUCAAUACAUGGCACGCGACGUGGAAGAUGGAGAUGGAGUGGCUGUCCCGGUCCAAAAGUACCAUUGCACUGGCACGUACGACUGUUCCACGCAUUGCACUGGCACGUACGACUGUUUCCACGUUUUAUGAUGAAGUUUCGACACAUGGGUCAGCAUGUAUCGACAAGCACUAGUCUUACGUAGGAGAUAUAAUAAGAUUUGGAUUGCCACCGCCCACCCCUUGAAUGGCUGAAUGCUCGGUGGAAAAUCCGCACAUCAUGCUACCUGAUAGAAAGUCAUUUGCUUUCCUGUGACUUUUCUCGUAUGCGAAGACAAUCGGCGUCAUCUUCCCGGCCGCCGCGGGCAGCCGUAUAUUGUUGCUUCAAUUCCACGUACCUCGCAUGUGAGGAUUUAUUGGUGGGCUGGUGGCCUUGGUCUGAGUGUCCCAACAAAUAAAGCCUACCAGAAAUGGUCAAGCAAGAACGGAAGACUUCCAAGCUACCUAUAUACCGGUGAUGGAUUAGGCCAUAUCCACGUUGAGAUAAAACUUGCAACGUGGAUUAUUUUUAUAAAAGAUUAUAGAUAAGGAGGAAAAAAUCCAAAAAAAACUAGAGUAGACGCAUAUGGCCCAAUCCGUGUUUUGCCUGUGGUUUCUCUAGAGUGCAUUCUGCCAUGGUUAAUAAUAUCGGUGUUCCGCCUUCGGUUUCUCUAUAAAGCUUUUUAGAAUUUUUCUUCUUUGUCUACGUUUCUUAUAAAGUUCAUCCACACUGCAAGUUCAAACUGAUCAACAUACAAGCCAUUCACAUCACCCUUUACUAGCUAUCCAUAUUAUCUUCCACUAAUAGCUACGUCAUGCAUCUUACUAACGAAGUCUACAAGAUAGCUUUUUAUAUUUUUGUUUAGUCUCUAGAAGGCUCUUUGGCCUUUAUGCGUGGAUUUAGAAUAGAAGAGUUUUAUUUUUAGAGUAUUUAUUACAGUAGAAGAUUGUUCUCGUGAGCAAUUUAGAAGAUUUCUUUGAGAGGGAGUCACUUUCGUGGGGCUUGAGCUAAAUCAAUAAGUUGCCUCGUCUAUAAAUGACAAAAAUUUAUGUCCAGUAUGACAGUGCAUUCUAAAUAUUUUAGAAUAGAUUAGAAGAAACUACAAAAGACAUAUGUGUCUCACUUUAUUUAUUAAUUAGACGCUAUCAUCAAGAAAUUGAUGGUGAUUUUGGUUGAUAAAUGGCAAGUAACACUACAAUACUUGCCACAAUAGGGCAUGAACAAAUCCAUUGAAGAGAACCACAAUAGGGCCAAGACCCAGUGGGUUGUUAUUCACUGGAUGACCUAGAGUGCCACGAUGAAGUUCACUUGAUACGUGUACUAGAUCAAUGUCCAAAGGUGAUCAAGUACUAGUCCAAAACAGAUGCUCUGGUAAGCACUAGAUGGUUCAUUGAACAUUUUAAGUUUGGUACUAGGUUGGGGAGUUUAAGGAAUUACUCAUCAGGUGACUCCAGAUGAUAGCAUUGGACCUUUGCAUUAUAAAAAAAUCAAGGACACAACGAAUGCACCAGAAAGAUCCUAUUGUGUGGUCAAGACCUGCGCCAUUGUAAGUUUAAGGUGAGGUCCAUUUCUACCAUGGAGAACAUUUGUUUCUUGUAUAUAUCAUAGCAGAGUUUGCGAUAGCUAGUUUGGAGUGUUGGAAUAUGAAUAUGUAUGCCCCACUCAACUAUUUGGUGUUUUUGAAGCUUCUUAAGGUGUAAACACACAUAUUUGAAAGCUUCAACAUCCAAGGAGUGAUCUUGAAGAAUAAGGCAAUUAAUGCUAGUUUAUGUCGGUUAACAAGAAGAGCUUUAGGUGCCUAAAGUAAGGCGAUGUUUGCACAAAUAUUGCUUGCCAGUGUGCUUGCAUGCACCAACCUUAGUUGUGGAGUUGAUGUUGGUGUUGUGUGAGGGAGGCCCUCAAUAACUUGGUUGAAGCUCAACCAAAUGAGUACGACAGGGAGCAUUCCAAGAAAGGCAAGGCGAAUACACACUUGCUAUUAAGGAUGGGCUAUCAUCUAUUCACUGAGUUAUCUGACUAGACGCUUGGCCCUUGCAAGAGGCUCAAACAAGGAAAGUGGAAGACACGAGCUUUUUGACACCUUAGUAAAAAAUUGUUAAAAGAGUUUGCAUUCUCAACCCUCUUUAGAUUUUGCAUUUACUUGUGCAUCUUGUUUAUAUGGAUUUACCUUUUCUAGAAUUUCAUGUGUAGUUCCCCCACAGAGGUCAUAUAUAUAAUCCAUUUGUCCCUAAAAGAAUAAAUUUAAAUUUCUAGCAACUUUAGGACAAAUUAGCAAAGAAGAUAAAAGACCAUUACCCCUCAUUAAGCUGUUGAACCUUAAUAGCUCUCUAGUUACCGAGAAGCCUAAUUAAGUAGUGUAGUUUGAAGUAUCCCAUAGUAGUGCAGGAAAGAGAGAUUAUGUUAAAUGAAAUCCAGACUACGAGAGAGACUAAUGUGGAUCGAUGGACCAUUCACCUCUAGAAAUCAAUUCUUUUGGAGACAAAUUUUUGGGCUAGAAAUUGAUUCUCUCAAGGACAGAGGGAGUACCAUGAACACCGACUUCGAGGUUAAACGAGUUAUUUGUGAAUGUAGGUUAACACACGUGUCAAGUAAUAACCAUAGUAUUUAUGUAUUAACUAUCUUUGCACAUCAUUGCCUUCAUAUGCACAUGCACAUGCUUUUAUUAAUCAUGUCUCCAUUCACAUAGGCUAGUCUUUCUACUACAAAUGUUACACAUCUUCAUGUGUGCUAAACCAUUCACAUACAAACGAAGAAGCAAAAGGCUUUUUACAUGCCAUGAGUGGCGUGUCGAAUAAGUUGGCAUGCAAUUGAAAAGUUGAACGUUUCAAUGAAAACCAUCAACUAUAAUUAAUAACUUCGUCGUGAGGAUUGGAAUCUGACAAUUUUAACUUCGAUGGAACUUCAAUUGAUGGACGACAGAGAAUCCAAGAAGGUACUACAUUAAUCUGCAUGUUACAAACUGCUUCAUUAUCGGCAUGUUACAAACUUGAACUGAAAAAAUAGAGCAAGGUUAAUAAUAUAGUUAAUUUGCUGGUUGUAAGGUUUUUUUGCAGCCUUCUUCAGCCCACUCAUACAGUAGUUAGUUAUUCACUAUUAAUAAAGUUUCUUACAACCUGUUUCUUCUCUCUUCUCUCUUCUAUCUCAGCAUUUAACCAGCUUACAACAAGUUACUAUACUUGCUCUUAGCUUAUACCAUUUCAUCUAAAAAGAAGAAGUUAGCUCAUCCCAUUAAUCUGCAUUAUUAUUUAUCAGUAGAUAUUGCGAAGUGUUCGCGUCAAUCUGCAUGUUACAAACUGCUUCAUUAAUCAUUAUUCAUGUCGAAUAAACAGGUCGCUAGCCCCUGCAUUAUUAUUUAUCUCUAAUACUACUACGCACUCUCAAAUUCUGAAGUAUAUAUACCCUUAUAUUUAUAUAAGAAGGCACGCAUGAACCCAUCACUUCUAGCAGGUGAGGUUGCUCCCCGGGUCGACGCCGAACUGCUGGCAGUACUGCUUGUAGUAGCCCACCCGCGCGUUCA
rnacentral:lncRNA from 1 species